rnacentral:rRNA from 1 species
AGGACGAACGCUGGCGGCGUGCCUAACACAUGCAAGUGGAGCGACGAACCAGGCUUCGGCCUGGGGCAAAGCCGCGAACGGGUGAGUAACACGUGGGUAACCUGCCCCGAUGAUUGGGACAACCCGAGGAAACUCGGGCUAAUACCAAAUGUGCCCUACGGCCAUAAGGCUGCUGGGGAAAGGAAGCUUCGGCCUCCGCAUCGGGAUGGGCCCGCGGCCCAUUAGCUUGUUGGUGGGGUAAUGGCUCACCAGGGCGACGAUCGGUAGCUGGUCUGAGAGGACGAUCAGCCACACUGGGAUUGAGAACGGCCCAGACUCCUACGGGGGGCAGCAGUGAGGAAUUUUCCGCAAUGGACGCAAGUCUGACGGAGCAACGCCGCGUGCAGGAUGACGGCCUUCGGGUUGUAACUGCUUUUCUGUGAGACGAGAACGGACGGUAUCACAGGAAUCAGCCCCGGCUAACUACGUGCCAGCAGCCGCGGU